rnacentral:lncRNA from 1 species
GGAUUUUAAUUGGUAAUUAUUUUCUUGACAUGUAUGCAUAAAUGACACAUUGUGCCAUUCCUUUUGUGAAAUUGUCAUUUCAUAUCCAAUGAGCUUGAAAUUUUUUGUGGUGAAACUAGACACAUUGACCUUCAUUUUGGUAUAAAGUUUGUGCAUUUAUCAUUUGUGGAUUGAGAGUUAUGAUUUUCUGAAGUUGUGUGUUGAAUUUGGUGUCACAACAUGAACAUGCAUUUUCC